UACGGGGGGAGCAAGCGUUGUUCGGAUUUACUGGGCGUAAAGGGCGCGUAGGCGGCCUCUGCAAGUCGACUGUGAAAUCUCCGGGCUUAACCCGGAACGGUCAGCCGAUACUGCAGGGCUAGAGUGCAGAAGGGGCAACUGGAAUUCUCGGUGUAGCGGUGAAAUGCGUAGAUAUCGAGAGGAACACCUGCGGCGAAGGCGGGUUGCUGGGCUGACACUGACGCUGAGGCGCGAAAGCUAGGGGAGCGAACGGGAUUAGAAACCCCCGUAGUCC
rnacentral:rRNA from 1 species